GCAUUAUGAGAAAAGCACAGUGGAAUGACAAUGUCUGGCCUCCUUCCUUGCCUGGAUUACUCACAUGUACUUUCCAAGUCUCCACUCAGCUGUUACUCCUUUCAUCUUUUUGUUUUUUAAAUAAGUUUUAUUUUGUAUAUCUGAGGUUUAUGACAUGAUGUUACAGAAUAAACAAAGAUACGCAAAGAUACAUGGAAAAUGUGAAGCCAUGUGCCAAUGGAUGUGGGAAGCCUCUAGAAGCUGAGAACAGUCUAAGGAUGACAGCCAGCAAGGAAAUGAACAACUCAGUUCUGAAAGAUUGAGGACCCUGGUCAGCUUGGAAGCAGACUGUUCUCUACAGCCUCCAGAAAGGAGUCUAGUCUGGUGGACACCUUCAUCUGAAUCUUCUAAGACCCUGAACAAGAAUUCAGUCACGUGGUGCCUGGAAUCCUAACUGACAGAACUGAAGUUGAUAAAGGAUAUUUUAAACUGCUAAAUUUGUAGAAAUUUCUUACAUAAUAUUAGAAAACUAAUACACCUUCUAUCGCACACAAAGCUGUUUGAAUUAUGGGUAUUUCUUUUUGCUCACAAUUGUCAGCACUAAUUGCAGUAACUGCAGCUACUUUUCAUUUAGUAUUUAUGUUAAUCAAAAUAUGUUAACAUUAUUUCACAUUAAUAAAAUACAAUUUAAGAAUGUUGCUCUAGGAAACUUCCUGAAAGACACAAUGUGAAGGGUUGUAUAUUAGUUAGACUAUGACUAAGGUUAAAGGACAACCUGUUUAAU
rnacentral:lncRNA from 1 species